ACCUUAGAAUGAGCUAUUUAUAUCUACAUACACGAGACAUCCCCUGCUGUAGAGGUCGACAUAUUGUGUUAUCAUGUUUCUACUCUAGCCUACAGCGAACAAACAGCGCUUUCAUCACUACCUUGAAAGAGAAGCAACAGAAGAAGCAGCAGCAGAAGAAGUAGGAGCAAGAGCAAGAAGAAGUUGUACGUUUCUAACUACUAUGUAGUAGUAGAAGCUCUCCUUUAUUAGUAGUGGAAUUUUGGACAAAUGAAGGACCACAGCUAUUAUUUAGCACAAGAGCCAACGGAGGGUGAAUCUGCUUCGAAGAAGUGAAAGCGUGAUGAAGCCAGACGCGGGAGCAACCCAGGCAGAAAUCACGGUUAAACAUCGAUGUGGCUUUUCCCAGAUGGAAGAAGGGUCUAAUGACGGAAAAAUGUUUUCAAAGCGACACCGAAGAUGCCAGUUUUCUGAUGGACAGCUACGAGACAGGUCCUGCAACAUCGACUCCCUUGAAGAGAAAACCUUUGCAAGUCCCAGCUCCAGCAUUGUCUAGCAUUGGUGCUUCUAGUGGAACAGACCGAUGAGCAUCUUGAUGUCAUUCCAGAAGCCACAGAAAUUCAGGACCUUGAACAAAGAUUUUUGUGCCUCAGUAGAAUGAGUGGAGCACUGAAGAAAGCACACUAUCGAUGGACUUCCUUGCCUGCACAUUAAGACCCUCCUGAUGAGCCUUCUCCCUGAGAUCAUGACCCUGUUUUCCCAGAACCACAGAAGGUCCUUUGUGAAGAUGACAUCAUAGGUGUAAGAGCCUCCAUAGUGUACAAGAACUGCUUAAGACAACUGGCUACAUUUCUGAUCCUGCCUGUGGAUAAAUGCACUGGCCUUCUGAGGACUGGUGGUGGUUCUCCUCUGUGACUUUUAGAUCUGUCCUAAUAGACACAGCUUGUGGAGGUGGAUUUCCCAGCCUGUCAUGAAGUUUGGGAUGCAAGCUGGAGAUUUUCUCUUGUCCACCAACAUUUUGUUGUCUGGCAACAACUACGCAAAGGUUGCCCUCUUGUUCAAAUUCAUGAACAUGGGGAUGGUGAACAGGAAGACUUUCUUCUCCAUUCAGGACAUUUACUGCGUCAAUACAAUAAAGGACUUCUGGGAAGAGAGAAGGACAGAGGUUCUUUGUGGCCUUCAAGGGAAAGAUGUUGUUGUCCUAGGUGUGUACUUGAUACUGUAUUAUGGAACAUAGCUAUUUAAUACACUAAGCAAUGACAGUAUGGAAACAACUAAUAACUGUUUUUCUGUUGAAUUAUAUUUUAAAAAAUUUCAGCGGAUGGCAGAAAUGACUCUCCUGGUCACUGUGCACAACAUGUGUGUGUUGAACAUUUACACUUUUACACACAUUUACACUUUCACCUCUACACACAGACUAUAGUUGAAUGCCUGUAUUUUACAGUAAUAUUUAUUUUUCUCUUUUCAAGGCAGCAAAGAUAAAAGGAGAGUCGAUCCUCUUCAACUGGCUGAAGGACAUAGUCAACCAUUUUCGGUGGUGUUGCAAGACUGCCGACACACGUCAGCAGUUUCUUGCAUUAUGGGUUGGCAUCCUUCACCAUGUCUGCAACAUUCACACCUGGACUAUGGGAAGUUGCAAACACGGGCACCUUGAAUCGGAUCAACUGCGGGGAAAGAUGUGGAUCCAGAGAGACUCCCAGUGCCACAAAGCUUUAGUGGAUCUAGUUCUCAAUAAGAGGUGGCAGAAAGAUGUUCACAAAUAUCUGCGAUUCAGAUCGACUGCAGACCUAGAGUCAUUCCAGAAUCAUAUCCUGAUGUAUGCCAGCAAGCGCUUUGCUUUCAGCCCCCCAGUUUAUGAGGCACGAGUUCUGCUUGCUGCUUUGGACUACAAUUUCCACCUGAACAGACCAACAAUGAAAACGUUGGACGGCAAAGAGAUUUUCAAAAGAUUGUAGAAGAAGAACGCUAGAAGAUACAGCGUAUAUGCCUUGAAAUCUGAAAAAACCUACGGAUACAUUUCCUAGUUGCAAAGAAGGAUUGUGAAGAACAGACUCAUAAGUGGAGUGGGGAUGCCUAGAAGGAGGAGCCUUCUCCCAGAUGACCCCAGACAGCUUGGUUUGGUGCCCCCCGUACCUGCACCAGCCACAUCAGACUUGCUGCAGAGACAAGUCAGAAGAGGUCUUGGACCGUUAUUCCAACCAGCAUCUGAUGUGGGAGGAUCCCCACAGGAGAUCUGCUUGCAUGUGUCCUGGUACUUGUCAGGCAGGGAAAGAACUUCAGUUCACUGACAAAGUCAUAGCUUUUACUCUUCAAAAAGAGAAAUUUAUUAACAUUAAAUUCUGUUCCUACCCUCC